UACGAAGGGGGCUAGCGUUGUUCGGAAUCACUGGGCGUAAAGCGCACGUAGGCGGAUUGUUAAGUCGGGGGUGAAAUCCUGAGGCUCAACCUCAGAACUGCCUUCGAUACUGGCAAUCUCGAGUCCGGAAGAGGUUGGUGGAACAGCUAGUGUAGAGGUGAAAUUCGUAGAUAUUAGCUAGAACACCAGUGGCGAAGGCGGCCAACUGGUCCGGUACUGACGCUGAGACGCGAAAGCGUGGGGAGCGAACAGG
rnacentral:rRNA from 1 species